UGGGAAACUGGGGAUAAUACCGGAUAUUAGGUGAUGCCUGCAAUGGUUUGCCUUUGAAAUGUUUCUUGUAUUCGCCUAAGGAUAGAUCUGCGGCUGAUUAGGUCGUUGGUGGGGUAAUGGCCCACCAAGCCGAUGAUCGGUACGGGUUGUGAGAGCAAGGGCCCGGAGAUGGAACCUGAGACAAGGUUCCAGACCCUACGGGGUGCAGCAGGCGCGAAACCUCCGCAAUGUACGUAAGUGCGACGGGGGGAUCCCAAGUGUUAUGCUUAAUAGUAUGACUUUUCAUUAGUGUAAAAAGCCUUUAGAAUAAGAGCUGGGCAAGACCGGUGCCAGCCGCCGCGGUAACACCGGCAGCUCGAGUGGUAGCUGUUUUUAUUGGGCCUAAAGCGUUCGUAGCCGGUUUAAUAAGUCUUUGGUGAAAGCUUGUAGCUUAACUAUAAGAAGUGCUGGAGAUACUAUUAGACUUGAAGUCGGGAGAGGUUAGAGGUACUACCGGGGUUAGGGUGAAAUCCUAUAAUCCUGNGAGGACCACCUGUGGCG
rnacentral:rRNA from 1 species